rnacentral:rRNA from 1 species
CCUCCGGCGUCUGCGCGCGUUCUCCGUCUUUCUUGUUUUUCCCGGGCGCGCCGCCGGGUCGUUCCGUCCGCUGUGAAAGUUUGGGGCUCAACCUUAAAAUUGCAGUUGAUACUGGCGUCCUUGAGUGCGGUUGAGGUGUGCGGAAUUCGUGGUGUAGCGGUGAAAUGCUUAGAUAUCACGAAGAACUCCGAUUGCGAAGGCAGCACACUAAUCCGUAACUGACGUUCAUGCUCGAAAGUGUGGGUAUCAAACAGG